UACGUAGGGAGCGAGCGUUGUCCGGAUUUAUUGGGCGUAAAGAGCGCGUAGGCGGCUCGGUAAGCCGGAUGUGAAACCUCCAAGCUCAACUUGGAGCGGCCAUUCGGAGCUGCUGUGGCUAGAGUCUGGUAGGGGAACACGGAAUUCCUGGUGUAGCGGUGAAAUGCUUAGAUAUCAGGAGGAACACCAGUGGCGAAGGCGGUGUUCUGGGCCAGUACUGACGCUGAGGCGCGAAAGCGUGGGGAGCGAACAGG
rnacentral:rRNA from 1 species